GAUUUUUGUUUAGGGAUAUACAAUAGGUUUCAGUCCCAUUCUGACAUAACAGUAUUAGAAUACUGAACAUGUAGUCAAUACAUGGCCCCUGAGGUGGUGGUAGUCUUCGUGGACCAGGCCACGUUCUACGAUAAGCAUUGUGACCUGGAGAGCCUGGGCAUGGUCCUCUACAUCAUGCUGAGUGGCUACCUGCCCUUCGUGGGUCACUGCGGGGCCAACUGUGGCUGGGACCGGGGUGAGGUCUGCAGGGUGUGCCAGAAAAAGCUGUUUGAAAGCAUCCAGGAAGGCAAGUAUGAAUUUCCUGACAAAGACUGGGCACACAUCUCCAGUGAGGCCAAAUGCCUCAUCUCCAAGCUCCAAGCUCCUGGGGCGAGAUGCGAAGCAGAAACUUAGCGCCGCCCAAGUUCUGCAGCACCCACGGGUGCAGGGGCAAGCUCCAGAAAAGGGACUCCCCACUCCGCAAGUCCUCUAGAGGAAGAGCAGCACAAUGGACCUGACACUCUUCGCAGCUGAGGCCAUCGCCCUUAACUGCCAGCUAUCUCAGCACGAAGAGAACGAACUAGCAGAGGAGCCAGAGGCACUGGCUGAUGGCCUCUGCUCCAUGAAGCUUUCCCUUCCCUGCAAGUCA
rnacentral:lncRNA from 1 species